AAACGACUUUGAAAAGGCUCGAGAAAUAAACUGGAGGUUGUGUCGCUCCACCUGCGGAUUAUCGGGUACUGACAGGGGAUAGCGGACGUCUAUUAAUUGAUUGGAAAUCCAUAGAAAUAUUGAAAAUGAUUCAGGAAAAAUAGGGGAAAGGAUAAAGAAUAAUGACAAUGCAGUGAAUCUUUAUAUUUCAGUCUAGGAAGCCAAGAUCUGAUUACAAACUCGAAUAACGACUGCAAACUGUGGAGAUGGAUUCGCAUGCAGAAAUGGGCAGAGAACGACCCAAGGACAUCCUGGAUUAUAUAUAUUCAUCCCUCUCGAUGCAGGAUAUGAAUGACAGGACCUUUUUCUCUGAACUGAAAUCAGGGAAAAAAAAGAUUGAAGGACCACGGACUCGUCGACACCCUGCAAAGGUAUGGAUGAUACCGGAUAAAUAGUACACAGAAAUCGGUUGAUCAUCCUCCGCUCAGGAUUUUGCGAAUCCAAUCUUCGAGUUAAAGGAAAGGUGGUAAUUCUUCCUCCGGUACAACCUCAUCGCCGCAGUCUCUUUCUUUGAUUUGAGCAUCCCUGUGUACAAAAUGAAAAACUGAAACCCAAAUAAUGAUCAUACUUACAUCAUUCAUAAAUGAUAAAAGACACUGAUAUUAUCCAAAAACACCUCGCCUGCAUCCCUCUCGUUUCGCCAUGGCGCCUACAAUUAUGUUGUAUACAUAUACUCGGUGAUCUUAUGAACCCAGUUAUCCUCUUAGAGUCGAAUCAACAGCCAAACAUCUUUCUCGUACUUUAGAUCUGAAGUAAUGAGAUUCUCCUCACCCCGAAUUAUCAGGUCCUCUUUGCUCAGGUGUCUGCAAUUGUCAUGCUUCGGUGUUUGCCUAAGCCUCAACAAUUCUUGUCCUAGGAGGCCCAGUCCAUUGUCUGAAUAAAAACAGCGUCAAGCCAAGCCAUUUUGGAGGAAAACUUCUUGAACCUGCUCGCUACAGAGGAUGAAUGUAUCAGAGAUUGUGAUAGGUGGAUUAAUACUAGCGGAAGGCAUAUUGGAAUAGAUACUUGUAUAAUUCGAGACGCUUUGAUAGAAAGUAGGAGCCUGCGGGUCCUCCCCUUGUCGAGUCUUUGUGGGGGAUGAUUUCAGUCCAGUAUGGAUCCUCUUGGAGGUUACCGGCAGCAUCUGGUAUGAUUCCUGUUUAGUGCGUGUCUUCCAAGGGCAGAAUAGAAUACCCUUGGUUUUCUCGAGCCAAAGAAUAGUUGCAUCAUGUUGCACAGAGCUGUACGGAGGCCUCCGAGAUGCAGGUAACCUGAAAACGGUAUCGGAGUGAAAAGGAUCACAUCG
rnacentral:misc_RNA from 1 species